rnacentral:rRNA from 21 species
GGUCCCACCUGACCCCAUGCCGAACUCAGAAGUGAAACGCCGUAGCGCCGAUGGUAGUGUGGGGUCUCCCCAUGCGAGAGUAGGGAACUGCCAGGCA